rnacentral:misc_RNA from 1 species
UUCCUCUAAUGAGCUGUUUCUAAUCU